UACGGGGGGAGCAAGCGUUGUUCGGAUUUACUGGGCGUAAAGGGCGCGUAGGCGGUCGUGACAAGUCACUUGUGAAAUCUCCGGGCUUAACUCGGAACGGUCAAGUGAUACUGUCGGACUAGAGUACAGAAGGGGCAACUGGAAUUCUCGGUGUAGCGGUGAAAUGCGUAGAUAUCGAGAGGAACACCUGCGGCGAAGGCGGGUUGCUGGGCUGAUACUGACGCUGAGGCGCGAAAGCCAGGGGAGCGAGCGGG
rnacentral:rRNA from 1 species